GCCUUGACCUCGUCGUCCUCGCUCUGCUUGUUGUUGACCUCCUCCAGGCCGCCAAUCAGCUGCUUGAAGGACCUGCGGCACACACCGCCGUCACACCCGCGCCUCACAAGAAGACCAACACCACGCCACUCACUCUCUGUCCACCACCAGACACGUGACGGCGCCGAUGGCGGUCACGCUGGCGGUGCGGACGUCCUCGCUGAAACACAUACACAAAAGGCCAGAGGUUCCACAGUCCGACAUCAUCCGUGUGUGUGCCAUCGCCUGCUCGCCGAACCAGUCCCCUUUGGACAACGUCUUCACCGGCGCCUGCUCGCCACUGGAGGCGCUUUGCUGCGAUACGUUCACCUUUCAGGGGGAGGAAGGACACGCCAUCACGCCCACGUGCAGCCGGGAGCAGGAAGAAGGAGGAGGCACACCUCACCUGACCCUCACUGAUGAUGAAGAAUGUGUCUCCUGUGGCACCUUGGCGGAUGAUGUAGUCGCCAUCGCUGUAGUGGGUCUGACACACACACACACACACACACACACACACGCACGGUGUAACAUGACCACGUGAGAAUGUGUGAGGCAGGUUGACACUCACCUCCUCAAGAACAUCAGCCAGCUUGCUGAGAACGUCCUCUGUGAGACUCUGGAAAGAUGGAACGCUAGCAGCAAAAGAGCAACGGCAUUAGCAAAGCCUCAAGAUUACCUGCGCAGGAAGUCAGUGUACUGAGAGUGUUUGAUGAGACCUGUCCUCAUCAUGAUGGUCUGGAACCCUUGACGGUCGAUGGCCCACAACUUCACAUCGGUGACUACCUGUGACUGUGGCCGUCCGUGUGCAGUUGUACAAGAUGGCGAGCUCUCCAAAGACAUUGCCGGGUCCGAUGGUGCAAAGUUUUUUGCCUCCCUUGGUGACCUCCACCAUGCCCUCUGUCAACACACUCCAUUAUUUCUUUACCUUUUACAGUACACUAAGUAGCAUCACACUAACACUUCUUCUACAAAACACAUGCAGGCUGAGGCUGUCUUUCUUUUGAGUGCACAAGUAGGUUACACCUGUGUACUUACACUAAUUUUUUUGAAUGCAUAAGUGUUUUACACUGGCAUAUUAACACUAAGUAUUUUGAGUGCAUAAGUGCAUUACACUUGUGUACUUACACUAAGUCUGUUGAGUGCAUAAGUGUGUUACACUGGCAUACUUACACUAAGUCUUUUGAGUGCAUAAGUGCGUUACACGUGUACUUACACUAAGUCUGUUGAGUGCAUAAGUGUGUUACACUGGCAUACUUACACUAAGUCUUUUGUACAUAAGUGUGUUAUACUGGCAUACUUACACUAAGUAGUUUGAGUGCAUAAGUAGGUGACACUUAUGUACUUCCACUAAGUCGUUUGAGUGCAUAAGUAGGUGACACUUGUAUACUUACACUAAGUUAUUUGAGUGCAUAAGUAGGUUACGCUGUAUACUUACACUAAGUCUUUUGAGUACAUGCGUGCGUUACACUAGCAUUACUACACUAAGUCUUUUGAGUACAUGCGUAGGUUACACUAUACUUACACUAAGUCUUUUGAGUACAUAAGUAGGUUACACGUGUGUACUUACACUAAGUCUUUUGAGUACAUAAGUGUGUUACACUAGCAUAACUACACUAAGUAUUUUGAGUACAUGAGUAGGUUACACGUGUGUACUUACACUAAGUCUGUUGAGUGCAUAAGUGUGUUGCACUGGCGUACUUGCACUAAGUCUUGUGAG